rnacentral:lncRNA from 1 species
CACAAGGAAAGCACCAGAUCCCCAGCUCUUAUACAUCAGCUCCCAUCAGCUGAUGCCUGUGCUGACUAGCAUCAUAAGAAGAAAGAUAAGAGGAGAGAAAGUGCCAUCGACCCACCCAGAGAGAGCAACGGCAAUUGUGCUCUCUCUGACUCCGGCUGCUGAUGGCGAGCAGCAUUAUCUGGAAUUGCUUGGAUCACUCAAAGCCCUAAAACACCUUUUUUGUGUUUCUCCAGAGGAAUUUCACAGAGUUGAAGUGCAAUGUCAAGACAGUCUGCCUGGUGAGGGUGUUUGCUUGGCCAGAAAGCAGAUGGAUCUACAACGCUUAGCCUCCAUAGCAACGUCCAUAGCAACAACAAAUGUGUCAGGAUACAGAGAAUCGUUGAAAACAUGUUGAGCAGCACUCCUAACUACUUGUAAUAAAUCAGGCAGCUGUCCGUGGUGCUGAAACUCC